AAUACUUACACAUCACUCAUUAGCAAAAUCAUCAUUACAAACAUACAAAAUAACUAAAUCCCUAUACAUGCCAUAACUCAAACGUGUUUCGAUAUAAAAUACCGAGCAGUUGUAGUUGAUAGUGUGGACGAUCUCCGACUUCUUUAGGAUCCUUGAAGUAGCUUUGCAAUACUAUAAGAGAAAGAGAAAUAAAAGAAGUAAGCAUAAAGCUUAGUAAGUUUACUAGCAAAUAAAUAACAAUAUUUAACUUAAAUAAUUAAACUCAAUGUCUAUAUCUGUAGUUUACUCUUUAGUUAAUCUCAUACUAGUUCUCUUACUUGUUUACUUAGAAUACUUGUGUGCAUAACUUACUCAAUCCUUGCUGCAUCGUUGAACAUCAAUUGAUAGUAUAAUAAGUUCUUAAGUCUCACAACUUACCUGAGCUUGCCAUUUAUGCUUUAAACUGAACUUUCAUGAACAUGAUUCAUUUACAAGCCCGUUGAGCUACAUUGGAAUAAUAAGGAUACUCGGGUCUCUUCUGAUAAUAACAUGCCAAAGCCAUGUCCCAGACAUGGUCUUACAUGGGAUGUUCUCAUGUUGGUGCCCAUGCCAUGUCCCAGACAUGGUCUUAUAGGGGACCUCUCAUCUCGGUGCCAACGCCAUAUCCCAGACAUGGUCUUACAUGGGACCUCUCAUCUCGGUGCCAAUGCCAUGUCCCAGACAUGGUCUUACAUGGGACCUCUCAUCUCGGUGCCAAUGCCAUGUCCCAGACAUGGUCUUACAUGGGACCUCUUUACCCAAAUGUCAUGACAUUCGUAUCCAGUACCAUCCUUAUGUAUCAACGGGACUUUUUAAUUUUAAUCCUCUAUCAUUUCAUGCUUAGAUCAUCAUCAAAUAAAUUCGUAAAAUAAAUUCAUAGUUGCUGGAAAAUAACAGCAUUGAUAAUAAAUAUUGAAAUAUUGCAUUUAUUUACCGUAAACUUACCUCGGUACCAAUUAUAGCCAAAUUCACUAACUUAGUCUUCAACUUUAUUCUUCCCUUUGUCUAACCUCGAGUUUCGUACUUCUUGAUCU
rnacentral:lncRNA from 1 species